GACGAACGCUGGCGGCGUGCCUAAUACAUGCAAGUAGAACGCUGAAGGAGGAGCUUGCUCUUCUGGAUGAGUUGCGAACGGGUGAGUAACGCGUAGGUAACCUGCCUGGUAGCGGGGGAUAACUAUUGGAAACGAUAGCUAAUACCGCAUAAGAGUAGAUGUUGCAUGACAUUUGCUUAAAAGGUGCAAUUGCAUCACUACCAGAUGGACCUGCGUUGUAUUAGCUAGUUGGUGGGGUAACGGCUCACCAAGGCGACGAUACAUAGCCGACCUGAGAGGGGGAUCGGCCACACUGGGACUGAGACACGGCCCAGACUCCUACGGGAGGCAGCAGUAGGGAAUCUUCGGCAAUGGACGGAAGUCUGACCGAGCAACGCCGCGUGAGUGAAGAAGGUUUUCGGAUCGUAAAGCUCUGUUGUAAGAGAAGAACGAGUGUGAGAGUGGAAAGUUCACACUGUGACGGUAUCUUACCAGAAAGAGACGGCUAACUACGUG
rnacentral:rRNA from 1 species